UACGUAGGGGGCUAGCGUUGUCCGGAAUCAUUGGGCGUAAAGAGCGUGUAGGCGGCCCGGUAAGUCCGCUGUAAAAGUCAAAGGCUCAACCUUUGAAUGUCAGUGGAUACUGCCAGGCUAGAGUCCGGAAGAGGCGAGUGGAACUCUUGGUGUAGCGGUGGAAUGCGCAGAUAUCAGGAAGAACACCAACGGCGAAGGCAGCUCGCUGGGACGGUACUGACGCUGAGACGCGAAAGCGUGGGGAGCGAACAGG
rnacentral:rRNA from 1 species